UGGGCCAUAACUCAGUGGUAGAGCAGCCGCUUGGCAUGCGGAAGGUCCUGGGUUCAAUCCCUGGUAACCCAG
rnacentral:tRNA from 1 species